rnacentral:rRNA from 1 species
AACGAACGCUGGCGGCAUGCCUAACACAUGCAAGUCGAACGAGACCUUCGGGUCUAGUGGCGCACGGGUGCGUAACGCGUGGGAACUUGCCCUUAGGUUCGGAAUAACUCCCCGAAAGGGGUGCUAAUACCGGAUAAUGUCUUCGGACCAAAGAUUUAUCGCCUUUGGAUGGGCCCGCGUUGGAUUAGCUAGUUGGUAGGGUAAAAGCCUACCAAGGCGACGAUCCAUAGCUGGUCUGAGAGGAUGAUCAGCCACACUGGGACUGAGACACGGCCCAGACUCCUACGGGGGGGAGCGGUGGGGAAUAUUGGACGAUGGGCGAAAGCCUGAUCCAGCAAUGCCGCGUGAGUGAUGAAGGCCGUAGGGUUGUAAAGCUCUUUUACCCGGGAUGAUAAUGACAGUACCGGGAGAAUAAGCUCCGGCUAACUCCGUG